rnacentral:rRNA from 1 species
CUAAAUACUCCCUAGUGACCGAUAGUGAACCAGUACCGUGAGGGAAAGGUGAAAAGCACCCCGGGAGGGGAGUGAAAGAGAACCUGAAACCGUGUGCCUACAACAAGUUCGAGCCCGUUAAUGGGUGAGAGCGUGCCUUUUGUAGAAUGAACCGGCGAGUUACGUUAUGAUGCGAGGUUAAGUUGAAGAGACGGAGCCGUAGGGAAACCGAGUCUGAAUAGGGCGCUUUAGUAUCAUGAUGUAGACCCGAAACCAUGUGACCUACCCAUGAGCAGGUUGAAGGUGCGGUAAAACGCACUGGAGGACCGAACCAGGGCACGUUGAAAAGUGCUUGGAUGACUUGUGGGUAGCGGAGAAAUUCCAAACGAACUUGGAGAUAGCUGGUUCUCUCCGAAAUAGCUUUAGGGCUAGCGUCGACAUGAAGAUUCUUGGAGGUAGAGCACUGUUUGGGUGAGGGGUCCAUCCCGGAUUACCAAUCUCAGAUAAACUCCGAAUGCCAAUGAAUUAUGGUCGGCAGUCAGACUGCGAGUGCUAAGAUCCGUAGUCGAAAGGGAAACAGCCCAGACCACCAGCUAAGGUCCCAAAAUAAUUGUUAAGUGGAAAAGGAUGUGGGGUUGCACAGACAACUAGGAUGUUAGCUUAGAAGCAGCUAUUCAUUCAAAGAGUGCGUAAUAGCUCACUAGUCGAGUGACCCUGCGCCGAAAAUGUACCGGGGCUAAAACAAUUUACCGAAGCUGUGGAUACCUUUUAUAGGUAUGGUAGGAGAGCGUUCUAUGUGUGGUGAAGGUGUACCGUGAGGAGCGCUGGAACGCAUAGAAGUGAGAAUGCCGGUAUGAGUAGCGCAAGACAGGUGAGAAUCCUGUCCACCGUAAGACUAAGGUUUCCAGGGGAAGGCUCGUCCGCCCUGGGUUAGUCGGGACCUAAGGAGAGACCGAAAGGUGUAUCCGAUGGCCAACAGGUUGAUAUUCCUGUACUAGAGUAUGAAGUGAUGGAGGGACGCAGUAGGCUAACUAAAGCAGACGAUUGGAAGAGUCUGUCUAAGCAGUGAGGUGUGAUAUGAGUCAAAUGCUUAUAUCUUUAACAUUGAGCUGUGAUGGGGAGCGAAGUUUAGUAGCGAAGUUAGUGACGUCACACUGCCAAGAAAAGCUUCUAGCGUUUAAACAUACUCUACCCGUACCGCAAACCGACACAGGUAGUCGAGGCGAGUAGCCUCAGGUGAGCGAGAGAACUCUCGUUAAGGAACUCGGCAAAAUGACCCCGUAACUUCGGGAGAAGGGGUGCUGACAGAGAUGUCAGCCGCAGUGAAUAGGCCCAGGCGACUGUUUAUCAAAAACACAGGUCUCUGCAAAAUCGAAAGAUGACGUAUAGGGGCUGACGCCUGCCCGGUGCUGGAAGGUUAAGAGGAGUGCUUAGGAGUAAUCCGAAGGUAUGAAUUGAAGCCCCAGUAAACGGCGGCCGUAACUAUAACGGUCCUAAGGUAGCGAAAUUCCUUGUCGGGUAAGUUCCGACCCGCACGAAAGGCGUAACGAUUUGGGCACUGUCUCAACGAUGGACUCGGUGAAAUCAUAGUACCUGUGAAGAUGCAGGUUACCCGCGACAGGACGGAAAGACCCCAUGGAGCUUUACUGCAGUUUGAUAUUGAGUGUCUGUGCCACAUGUACAGGAUAGGUAGGAGCCUACGAGAUCGGGACGCCAGUUUCGAUGGAGGCGUUGUUGGGAUACUACCCUUGUGUUAUGGCCACUCUAACCCGGUAGGUUUAUCAUCUACGGAGACAGUGUCUGACGGGCAGUUUGACUGGGGCGGUCGCCUCCUAAAAGGUAACGGAGGCGCCCAAAGGUUCCCUCAGAAUGGUUGGAAAUCAUUCGCAGAGUGUAAAGGUAUAAGGGAGCUUGACUGCGAGAGCUACAACUCGAGCAGGGACGAAAGUCGGGCUUAGUGAUCCGGUGGUUCCGCAUGGAAGGGCCAUCGCUCAACGGAUAAAAGCUACCCUGGGGAUAACAGGCUUAUCUCCCCCAAGAGUUCACAUCGACGGGGAGGUUUGGCACCUCGAUGUCGGCUC